rnacentral:rRNA from 1 species
GAGUUUGAUCCUGGCUCAGGACGAACGCUGGCGGCGUGCUUAACACAUGCAAGUCGAACGGUAAGGCCCCAGCUUGCUGGGGUACACGAGUGGCGAACGGGUGAGUAACACGUGGGUGACCUGCCCCGCACUUCGGGAUAAGCCUGGGAAACUGGGUCUAAUACCGGAUAGGACCGCACCGUGAGGGUGUGGUGGAAAGUUUUUCGGUGUGGGAUGGGCCCGCGGCCUAUCAGCUUGUUGGUGGGGUAAUGGCCUACCAAGGCGGCGACGGGUAGCCGGCCUGAGAGGGUGGACGGCCACAUUGGGACUGAGACACGGCCCAGACUCCUACGGGAGGCAGCAGUGGGGAAUAUUGCACAAUGGGCGGAAGCCUGAUGCAGCGACGCCGCGUGGGGGAUGACGGCCUUCGGGUUGUAAACUCCUUUCACCAUCGACGAAGGUUUUCUGACGGUAGAUGGAGAAGAAGCACCGGCUAACUACGUGCCUGCAGCCGCGGUAAUACGUAGGGCGCGAGCGUUGUCCGGAAUUACUGGGCGUAAAGAGCUCGUAGGUGGUUUGUCGCGUCGUCUGUGAAAUUCCGGGGCUUAACUCCAGGCGUGCAGGCGAUACGGGCAUAACUUGAGUACUGUAGGGGAGACUGGAAUUCCUGGUGUAGCGGUGAAAUGCGCAGAUAUCAGGAGGAACACCGGUGGCGAAGGCGGGUCUCUGGGCAGUAACUGACCCUGAGGAGCGAAAGCAUGGGUAGCGAACAGGAUUAGAUACCCUGGUAGUCCAUGCCGUAAACGGUGAGCGCUAGGUGUAGGGGUCUUCCACGACUUCUGUGCCGUAGCUAACGCAUUAAGCGCCCCGCCUGGGGAGUACGGCCGCAAGGCUAAAACUCAAAGGAAUUGACGGGGGCCCGCACAAGCGGCGGAGCAUGUGGAUUAAUUCGAUGCAACGCGAAGAACCUUACCUGGGCUUGACAUAUACGGGACCGGGCCAGAGAUGGUCCUUCCCUUGUGGCUCGUAUACAGGUGGUGCAUGGUUGUCGUCAGAAUCGUGUCGUGAGAUGUUGGGUUAAGUCCCGCAACGAGCGCAACCCUUGUCUUAUGUUGCCAGCACGUAAUGGUGGGGACUCGUGAGAAACUGCCGGGGUCAACUCGGAGGAAGGUGGGGAUGACGUCAAAUCAUCAUGCCCCUUAUGUCCAGGGCUUCACACAUGCUACAAUGGUCGGUACAGUGGGUUGCGAUGCCGUGAGGUGGAGCUAAUCCCUGAAAGCCGGUCUCAGUUCGGAUCGGGGUCUGCAACUCGACCCCGUGAAGUCGGAGUCGCUAGUAAUCGCAGAUCAGCAACGCUGCGGAGAAUACGUUGCCGGGCCUUGACACACCGCCCGUCAAGGUA